AUUGAACGCUGGCGGCAGGCCUAACACAUGCAAGUCGAACGAGUGGCGGACGGGUGAGUAAUGUAUGGGCAAAUGCCUGAUGGAGGGGGAUAACUACUGGAAACGGUAGAUAAUACCGCAUACAAUCAGAUGAUCCCAGAUGGGAUUAGCUGGUUGGUGGGGUAACGGCUCACAAAGGCGACGAUCCCUAGCUGGUCUGAGAGGAUGACCAGCCACCAUGGAACUGAGACACGGGCCAGACUCCUACGGUAGUCAGCAGUGGGGAAGAUUGCAUAAUGGGCGCAAGCCUGAUGCAGCCAUGCCGCGUGUAUGAAGAAGGCCUUCGGGUUGUAAAGUACUUUCAGCGGGGAGGCGUUACCCGCAGAAGAAGCACCGGCUAACUCCGUGCCAGCAGCCGCGGUAAUUC
rnacentral:rRNA from 1 species